rnacentral:lncRNA from 1 species
CCUUGGUGUGUUGCUCCACUAUAAUGGAAUAUUUUUACAAACUCAAAAGCGUUUAUCUCAACAAGGAUCAAGAGCGUUAUCUUCACUAAUAAAUUCAUUGAAACAAAUAUAUGUGACUACUGAACAACAAUUUUUUCUAUUCGAUAGUAUGGUUGGAUCCGUUUUAAGUUAUGGGUCUGAAAUAUGGGGUUUUCAUCGUGCUGGUGAUAUAGAGCCUAUAUAUAA